rnacentral:rRNA from 1 species
AGUUGGGGGUUUGGAGAAAUGCGCCYGGGAAUAAA